AGCAGCCGCGGUAAUUCCAGCUCCAAUAGCGUAUAUUAAAGUUGUUGCAGUUAAAAAGCUCGUAGUUGAAUUUCGGGGUUAGUAGGUUGGCCAUGCCUCUGGUAUGUACUGGUCUCACUGAUUCCUCCUUCCUGAUGAGCCGUAAUGCCAUUAAUUUGGUGUUGCGGGGAAUUUGGACUGUUACUUUGAAAAAAUUAGAGUGUUUAAAGCAAGCUAACGCUUGAAUACAUUAGCAUGGAAUAAUGAAAUAGGACGUUCGAUCCUAUUUUGUUGGUUUCUAGGAUUGACGUAAUGAUUAAUAGGGAUAGUUGGGGGCAUUAGUAUUCAAUUGUCAGAGGUGAAAUUCUUGGAUUUAUUGAAGACUAACUACUGCGAAAGCAUUUGCCAAGGAUGUUUUCAUUAAUCAAGAACGAAAGUUAGGGGAUCGAAGACGAUCAGAUACCGUCGUAGUCUUAACCAUAAACUAUGCCGACUAGGGAUCGGAUGAUGUUAAUUUUUUAAUGACUCAUUCGGCGCCUUACG
rnacentral:rRNA from 1 species